CCUAACUUGUCUAAUCCGCUGAAGGGAACCUGUGCACGAUUCCCACGGGGCUGUAGCAGUCUCUAGAAAGCCUAGGUACAACUUUUGAGAGCUCCUGUUGCGAUCCUAGAACUCUGGGAACCACCUUAACACAAGACAGCUGUACGGAGACAGCCACGGAAAAUCGAGAACACUGGGUAGACAAUUCAAAACAAUUCUACAGUUUUCUGCUGGAGGAGAUGUGUUGGAAGUCUCGGGCCAGAAGAGAGGGUCUGCGGACAUGGUUGGGACGUGCUGAAGACCUGGAGCAACCCAGGACUGGACGUUGGUACUUUAAGCUAAGCAGAUGCCUGAAGAGAAAUAGGGACCACCUAGUAUCUUCAGUCGUUUACAGUUUUACAAAAAAGGGUGACAAUAGAACUUUUUUUAUUCAGCCCGCCCGUGGAGCACUUUUCUAGCUUCCAGAAGUCAACCUCACUAAAGAGGUUUUAAGGACCACAAGUUCCUGUUUUGCCAGUGCUGAUAUGGAAUUCACUCAAGGAUUUCAACUAUUUUAUGCAUCAAUCAACGAAUUACUUACCUAGCUUCCCUAAAAAGGGAAGAGGAACAAAAAAUUAAGUACUGUAUGACGAGCACUGUGCAAAGCAUAUAUAUGUAUCAUUCUCUUUAAUCCUCUCAAUUUCUAUAUGACUUCAUGGUAGAAAUUCCUCCCAUCUUACAGAAAAAAAAAACGAGGAUUAGAAAGGACAAUUCACUCAAGGGUUACUAGAGUUUAAGAACAGGCAGAUACCCCUCACUUUAAUACUUGGCAGUAUUAUUCAUGUAGUUCGGAUGCAACAUGCUUGGGAUAGAAGCAUCACCAGACUUUUUCAAAAAGCAGUAAGGUCAACUUAACCAGAGUUCAAGGUUGCCUUGGGUUGAGUAGAUUCAAUGUUAAUGCAGACCAAGGAACUCUAAAAGUUAAAACAUAAGUGGAAGUGAAAUCUGGGGAUAUGACUGUGGUACAGCGCUUCCUCAGAAAGUGCUUGCCUAGCUUGUGCAAGGCCUUGGGUUCCAUCCCCAGCACCACAAAAACAGCAGCAACAACAAAACUAAAAGCAUUGGGGAAUAUAAGAGGAAAUAUUAGUGCAAACAUUUCACCAUCUCUAAACCCCAACAAAUACUGUUUGCUAUACUCAUUGUGAGUCUUAUUAUUUUAAAUAUGUGACAGAGGCAGUGGAAGUUAUAUGUAAUUUUUUAAACUAUUUAAACCCUGAAUAGUAUGUCAACCCCUUUUCCACUAAUUAAAUAUUAAGCAACUAAUAAAUGUAAUAUGUUCAAGGAAUCAAAUUAUAAGUCCUUCAGGUAGAGUUACAAUUGGGAGUUAAGAUAUGAAUGAUACUUGCUGAUUCUUUACAAUUAACAGUUCAGCCUGGGGAUUGAUUCAAUAAACUUCAGCCACAAGGAUGUUAAAUUGUCACUUAGGGUGUUUCCAAUAGUCACUUCCCUAAGC
rnacentral:lncRNA from 1 species